UACGUAGGGGGCAAGCGUUGUCCGGAUUUAUUGGGCGUAAAGAGCGUGUAGGCGGCCAGGUAGGUCAGCUGUUAAAACUCGAGGCUCAACCUCGAGACGUCGGUUGAAACCACCUGGCUAGAGUCCGGAAGAGGAGAGUGGAAUUCCUGGUGUAGCGGUGAAAUGCGCAGAUAUCAGGAAGAACACCCGUGGCGAAGGCGGCUCUCUGGGACGGUACUGACGCUGAGACGCGAAAGCGUGGGGAGCGAACAGG
rnacentral:rRNA from 1 species